AAGAUGUGAGCAUGCUCCUACCCCUAGGCUUUCUGCUAUGGUAGCAGAUUCCUAAUUCGUAUUAUAGAGGUUAAAUAUUGUGUAAUUUGUAAUGGCAGCUUUUAUACGAAAAAUGAAAAUUGCUCUUAUACAAUUAGCCGUCUCUUCAAAUAAAGAGCAGAAUAUAGAGCGAGCAUGUAAAUUUAUCAAAGAAUCUGCACAAAAUGGAGCUAAUCUGGUGUGUUUGCCUGUAAGUAUUAGAUAGAAGAUUUCCUUAUAUGAAGAAUGUUAGCAUAAAACUAUUUUUACUUCAUGUUUGUAAAAUGAGGUUUAAAUAAAUUGGUGGAUACCAAAA